GAUGAACGCUGGCGGCGUGCCUAAUACAUGCAAGUCGAGCGAACAGAUGAGGAGCUUGCUCCUCUGACGUUAGCGGCGGACGGGUGAGUAACACGUGGAUAACCUACCUAUAAGACUGGGAUAACUUCGGGAAACCGGAGCUAAUACCGGAUAAUAUAUUGAACCGCAUGGUUCAAUAGUGAAAGACGGUUUUGCUUUCACUUAUAGAUGGAUCCGCGCCGCAUUAGCUAGUUGGUAAGGUAACGGCUUACCAAGGCAACGAUGCGUAGCCGACCUGAGAGGGUGAUCGGCCACACUGGAACUGAGCCACGGUCCAGACUACUACGGGAGGCAGCAGUAGGGAAUCUUCCGCAAUGGGCGAAAGCCUGACGGAGCAACGCCGCGUGAGUGAUGAAGGUCUUCGGAUCGUAAAACUCUGUUAUUAGGGAAGAACAAAUGUGUAAGUAACUAUGCACGUCUUGACGGUACCUAAUCAGAAAGCCACGGCUAACUACGUG
rnacentral:rRNA from 1 species